rnacentral:lncRNA from 1 species
UGAGUUUUAUUCAAUCUAAUGUGUUUAAAAUAAAUUGCAUUUUACCUUGCAGGUUACUACGAUGAAUGUUUAAUUUUAUUUAAUAAAAAAAAACAAGUUAUGUUUUAGCAUUAGUUUUUGUACUGGGCCGACCGAAAGCAAUGUGGCCGAUCGAAAGAAUGCAAUGUGUACUGGGCCGACCGAAAGCAAUGUAUACCGGGCCGGGCCGACCGAAAGCAAUGUAUACCGGGCCGAGAGAUUGGACCGAAAGCAAUGCGAAAACUAAGCUGAUAGCUCAACCCGAAAGUAAACUAAAUAAGGGAAGAAAUAAAAUAGAAUGGAAUAUAUUAUUAAGCAAAAGCCCAUGAAGCUGGGCCCAGUUGGGCCCAAAUAUGCGGGUGUAUGUAGUAAAGGCCUGAUACAAAGAGAAAACGUCCAAAUAACUACUGGGCCCAAUAAAAGAGUAGUAUAAAUACAGGGUCAUCCUGAGAGGUGAGGUAAGUGGAAUUCACUCUGGUAUCUUGUAAAACUGAAUCUAACUUUGGCAUCGGAGCACCUUUCAGGUACGCACACCCGUCCGUGAGAGGAAUCCGAGACUAAAAACCGAAAGAUUAACGAGUGAGCUAGAAGUGGACAGGGAAGUCUCCAUCAGGCAAUCUAAUAAGACGUGAAGGGUAAGGGGAACCGAAAGAUCAUACCGAGAAGGGAGUCCGGAAGCGAAGGCCGAGAGGUCAACGUGUGGAGGGCGAAGAAAGUUUGUUUCUAGGUCCUUGUAAGAACAUUUUGGCGCCCACCGUGGGGCCGAGAAACAAGAUGAGCGAAAGAGGAGAACAUUCUCAACUUUAACUUGUUCACUUCUGCUUCCAAUUGAGAAAUGCCUUCAGCAUCGAUUUUCUUCGCAGCCGUGAGUUUAGCAAUGUCUCCCUUCAAUUCUUGAUUCUCCGUGUUAAGCGCCAAAGUUUGGGCCGAGAGCUUGACAUUUUCAUUCUUCAACUUUUCUUUCUCAGCUUCUUGUCGGUUAUUAACCGAAGAAAGUUUAUCAAUUUGAGAAUUUAGUAAUGUGAUUUUCUCAUUUGAUUCGGCUGCUUCCCUUUUCAAUUUCUCAAAUUCAGCAGAAGUAACAUGGCUCUUUGUUUUCUCCUUUAUCGCUUCACUAAUCAAUUCAAACAUCGAAUCAGCUAGAGAAGGAACAGAAACCACUUUGAACAUAUCCCGAGCAGAGGAAUCAAGAUUGCAAUCAACAAAGUCUGAAAAACGUGUGGACGAUGUGAAUAUUCUUUCAAAAAGCGAUUGAGAAGAGCUCCCGGAACCAUGACGAUGUUUCUUAGAGGAGUGUGACCUUCUAUUACUCUUGUCCCGUUUCCUACUCUUCUUAGAAGGUCCUAUUCCGGCGUCCGCGGCUACUUCACCCUCUAAGUGAGGGAUAGGCUCAACAACUUCAUUUUCUGUUCCUGGAGCUUCAUUCUCAAGACGAGGAGUUGAACUUCCAGCCUGAUUAAACAGCUUAGAAAAAUAAGCACGAUCCUUCGGUUUCAUGGCCGCCAUUAAACCUGGACAUCACCAACAGAUUCAGCAAAGUUAAAAUUCUAUUGUUACUCAAAGAGAAAAUCCGAAAGAAUCACAUACCCGUGAAAUCCUCUUGGGGUUUACGAGAAACAUAUAGCCGAAGCAGAGCACGAGUUGGAAUCUUAUGGGAGAAGUGACCUAGAACCACAAUACCAUGUUUCUCUUCGGUAGUCAUCGAAUGUCCUACUUUCUGAAAUUUUAUUCUGAGCACGGGUCCAGUAAAAAGGGAAUUUUGGAAUAUCACCAUCAAAGAAGUACUUUCUCCCGGUUUCCUCAAUUAAAAUUUUAAAGAAACCUCCUUUGAAAUUUUUAUACGAAGAAGUAAAUGGAGACAGAAAACACACUUUUCUCUUACUGAUCAGGGACAACCAACUAGGCUUCUUACCGGGCCGAGAGCUAUAGUAAUAUAAAAAGGUUUUCGGACUCGGAAUUAAAGAAAGGUAUUUACACAAAAUACUGAAAGCUUACAUAUAAGCCCAACCGUUGGGAUGAAGUUGGGUAGGAGCAAUAUUAAGAAAACGCAGGACACCCAUCUGAAAUUCACUUAACGGAAACCGAAUAUGGAGAUCAGUAAAGAGACAUUCAUAAAAAUAAAAAAAUUCGUGUUCGUCGCCUUCACGGCCAUGGCAAACAUUAUCAAUGGCACAAGUUCGCCGAAAAGAAAUGAUUUCCUCAGUGGCAUCAGGAGAAUACACAUAAAUUUUAGAAAGGAAGUUACGAAGGGUUGAGCUAAAUUGGUACCGAGAGAAAUAUUCCCGAACUUUUGGAUUAACCCAUUCGUACCCGAGUCGAAGGCUUAAUUUUUGUUCGGCCAUUUCUUCUCUUUCCUCGGCCUCAACAUCUACGCCAUCCUUGCUUGACGAAUUCAGACACGAAACCGUUUCAGGUGACAAAGCAGGAUCGGCAUUCUUAUUGGUCUCAAUCACUCUCCCAGUAGAUUCAUUACUCGUGCUCGAAAAUUCCGUAAACUCAGAAGAAACGGAAACAGAACUUGAUGAAGACAUUAUACCUUCCGCGAAUAUUUGCUUCAGCUUUAAUAUAUAAUGCAGGGAGAAACUGUGACAUAAGGUGAAUAGAAGUGAAGAUUUAUAGUGGUAGAAGAAUGGUGAAAACUGAAGAGUCAUGGCAUAGUGACCAUCAGAUUUACUUACAUCCGAUGGUUGAAACUUCUAGCUUGUCCUGUCAAGCGGUCCCAUCAGCAAGAAGCGCGUAAAACGAAACAGUCUUUUCGUAAUUAAUACACCAUUCAAGUUUUUCUCUUUUUCUUUCAAAAUUGAUUUUCCCCCCAAAAAUACAAGAGGUAGCAUUUUAUCUUCUAAAAGGCAUUUCGUCGUCUACACCUCCUUAUGCCUGGGGGGCUUAGUGUACUGGGCCGACCGAAAGUAAUGUGGCCGACCGAAAGAAUGCAAUGUGUACAGGGCCGACCGAAAGCAAUGUAUACCGGGCCGAGAGAUUGGACCGAAAGCAAUGCGAAAACUAAGCUGAUAGCUCAACCCGAAAGUAAACUAAAUGAGGGAGGAAAUAAAAUAGAAUGGAAUAUAUUAUUAAGCAAAAGCCCAUGAAGCUGGGCCCAGUUGGGCCCAAAUAUGCGGGUGUAUGUAGUAAAGGCCUGAUACAAAGAGAAAACGUCCAAAUAACUACUGGGCCCAAUAAAAGAGUAGUAUAAAUACAGGGUCAUCCUGAGAGGUGAGGUAAGUGGAAUUCACUCUGGUAUCUUGUAAAACUGAAUCUAACUUUGGCAUCGGAGCACCUUUCAGGUACGCACACCCGUCCGUGAAAGGAAACCGAGACUAAAAACCGAAAGAUUAACGAGUGAGCUAGAAGUGGACAGGGAAGUCUCCAUCAGGCAAUCUAAUAAGACGUGAAGGGUAAGGGGAACCGAAAGAUCAUACCGAGAAGGGAGUCCGGAAGCGAAGGCCGAGAGGUCAACGUGUGGAGGGCGAAGAAAGUUUGUUUCUAGGUCCUUGUAAGAACAGUUUUAAUUGUUUUAGGUGAAAAAAUAUUUAAUUUUGUUAAAAGUAUUUAAUAAAAAAAAUUAUUAAGAAGGUAAAUAAGUUAGAUUGGACAAAUUCAUCGACUGCAUGUACUUAGCAGCUCUCUUUCUCAGCUCGUCCAGGCUGUCGGCCGGCUGCAUGCACAGGUUGUCGGCAAAGGGCCCCGGACGCAGGGCCGUCAGCAUGUGCUGGGGUUUCUGUUUUGUUUUUAAAAAAGUUACGUUGUUAGAAAGACCGGAUGGGUUGUUACAAAGACUGGAUUAGGUUGGAUAAAUAAAAAUACAGAAACGUUGUGAUAGAUUUUUUUUAAAGUUGUCGAUGAAUUUGUCCAAUCUAACUUAUUUACCUUCUUAAUAAUUUUUUUUUAUUAAAUACUAUUAACAAAAUUAAAUAUUUUUUCACCUAAAACAAUUAAAACUAAUGCUAAAACAUAACUUGUUUUUUUUUUAUUAAAUAAAAUUAAACAUU